rnacentral:pre_miRNA from 1 species
UACGACGUUUCGGACGGGGACCGUCCUUUAUCAAACGCUUGAUAAAGGACGGUCCCCGUCCGAAACGUCGA